GAUGAAGAACGCAGCGAAAUGCGAUAAGUAAUGCGAAUUGCAGAUCUCCGUGAGUCAUUGAAUCUUUGAACGCACAUUGCGCCCGCGAGUAUUCUCGCGGGCAUGCCUGUCCGAGCGUCAUUUCAACCCUCAGGGCCCGCCUGCUUCGGCAGGCGCGGCGCUGGUGUUGGGGAUCGGCCUAACCGCCGUCCCCCAAAUACAGUGGCGGUCUCGCUGCAGCCUCCCCUGCGUAGUAGCAACACUCGCAUGCGGAGCGCGGCGCGGCCACGCCGUAAAACCCCCGACUUUCUGAACGUUGACCUCGGAUCAGGUAGGAAUACCCGCUGAACUUAAGCAUAUCAAUAAGCGGAGGA
rnacentral:misc_RNA from 1 species